UCCCUGGUAGUCCAGUGGUUAAGAUUCCACACUCCUGAUGCAGAGGGCCCAGGUUCGACCCCUGGUCAGGGAA